GGGAACCGAGCAUUUUUCGUGGCAGUAGACCGGGCUUGUACCCGGAAACUUUAAACGGAAAACAUGGUACCCACCU
rnacentral:sRNA from 1 species